rnacentral:snoRNA from 1 species
CUAGCACUUUCACAGGUCCUCCCCUGGGCAGUGGGGCCAGGAUUUGGUAGCUGGUGCUUAAACUGAAAACCCUUGAUUACAUCCUUGCCUUGGGCAAGAGAUGUAUUCUCAGUGGGACAGAG